AGAGACUCCUCCAUGCCUCUCCACCCAUGUGUGCUUAGCGAUUCCUCCUCUUCCCCAUAUGUCCAUGGUCCCUGAAAAACAGGAAAAGCCAAUCUACCGCAUAGCUAGAAAACCUAAAGAUCCUGCAAAAAAAGUCUAGGUCGGUUCUUCCUCAAAAGUGUGCUCACGCUCCCAAUCCCGCCGAUCUGCUGCCAUUGGCAUACGCUCCCAAUCCCCCCAACUGACCUAUUGCAAUUGGCACGUUGCUAUUGCAGCUCCUCCGCCGCUUCAUGUCGCCCUUCGUAACUUCAUGCCAUCAUCCACUUUGAAGAUCCGCAUGGUGCUGCAAUUCGUCCAAGGAGUAAGGGUUCAACCAGAUUCCCAUCCAAUCCAUCUCCAACUCUUCCUAUUGACCUCGAUCUGCUCAUAUCUUUGUUGCUUCUAGGUAGGGAAGCUUGGAUCCAGCAAAAAAACUUAAUUAGUAAUUAGGCAAUGGAGUGAAGGAAGGGUGAUCUCAUCCCAACGCCCAAACCUUGUUCGAUUCCAUCUAUGGCCGAUUCGUACGCCCAUCCACAGGCAAGUAACUCUCUUCUCUUCCUUGAUGAAUUCGUCCUCUGUUCUCCUCCUUGAUGAAUUCAUCCGAGAGCACCCAAAUAAUUUUGCUUUAUCUGUGAUCUCUCAUCAAGGAAAAAACUGCUCUGUAUAUGUGUUUCACAUCACAACGCUUACGAGAUUAAGAAAUAUAGGAAGCUAUGAAGAAUGGGCCAGGUAAGAUAAUCUGCUACUUCUUUGGUGCCAACCUGCAGUAAGCUAGCGUGGUACAUACAUAUAGAAAUCAAUCACUGCCAACAAGUUCUGUUUAAUAUUUAUAGAAGCUUCAUAUAUAGAUGUUCUCCAGAUUUAGAUGUUGUAUGUUGUUUCUUCCUGUAUGUGCUAACUCAGAUUAUCUGCAUGUUUUAAGAAAUAAUCCUUCUCUCUAGGAUUAAGAAAAAUGUAAGAUGCCUUAUUGACUUCGCAUAUUUGGUUGUACUUUGGACAUUUAAUAUAUUUUCUAACUUCUAGAUUUCUUAAAAUCAUAUCUAGAGUGAAUAAUAUUCUCUUUAUAUAUUUGUAAGAACUUAGUAUUUUUGGCUGUGCAAAUAUUUAGCUUCAUGUAUGGCUUAUUGAGUUACACAUGUUUCUGUAUAUAGUUCAUUUGUUGUAUUUGGAAACUGAUCUAGGUAGAUAAUCUUUUUAGUACAAAAAAAUCAUAUUAAGUUUUCUUUCAAUUGUAAUAAACGAGUCCAUAUCAUCUUUUUUGAUUUUAAUAAUUUGUUUGAUCUUUCCUUCGCAGUUACAGUAUUCAGAUAUCAUAUAUAGCUGCCACUUACAGAAAAUAUGGUAAGGAUUUUUCAGCUAAACUUUUAGAGUGUCCUCAUAGUGAUUUUCAUGUUUAAAGAAAUGGGUUAUGCAUAGUGAUAUUCUUCAGUUGGCGCCUCAAUAUGCUCUCUUUAAAUUAGUAGAUUUGUGUUGUUCAAUUAUGUGUAGCAGAAUAUUCAUGCAUGCUUCUAGAUCUACUUCAUCGAACAAUACUCUGGAGUCUGCACUAGCAUCUAACAAAAAAAUCUAUGGUGGAACUUACACAAUAACCUAACAUCUUAUGCAGAUUACAAGUAGGAUUUACAAUCGUUUCCUCAAAUCAUUAAAUGGGUAGCUAUUGUGAGUUCCAGUAUGGUCGUUUAUUGAUCACAAAGGAAUUGCUUCUGCCAUUGGAAGUAUGACAUGAGUCCUGACUUCUGCAGGUAAGGAAUUGACUCACUUCUUGGUAGUUUUGUAGCUGUUUGAAUUUAUCUUCCUGUUGCCACAAAUUACGUUACUAUUAUUUCUACAAACCAAUGUAGGAAUCUGUAGUUUCUCCAUGCUGUAAAAAAUUAAAGAGUUUUCCUGAUAUUCCCCAUCACUUUUCGUAACAGAAUGUGCAUCUUAUCUUCACUGAUAUAAACAAUCUCGGUAAGAAUCCUCUAUCUUCAAACAAACCUCUAACACCAUGGAUCAUUGUUUCAAAAUGUCUGGCAUGGGCUUGAAGGGACAUUAUGGAGGCAUCAGAUGAUCGGGGGGAUCGACAAUGGGAGGCUACCACGACAAGCAACUAGCAAGUAAUCUAUAUUUUCUUUGUUAUUAUAUUUUCUGUUUGUCCUAACUAAUUCAUGUAUCUCACUUUCCACUAUUUUUAAUAUGAAUCAAACACCUCACGUAUAUAUGUUUCUUGCAUAUUUCAGACUGAACUAGAAAUAAAACCACAUUGACAUAAGUAAGAAUGAUGAUGCACUUAUCAGGUGUUAAGAUGAUACUACUCCACAAACAGUGUACAAACUGUAAGAAAGCUUUCAGACAUUGUUAAACUUAUUAGCCAAUGAUACCAUAGUUUUUGACGAAUAGGUUGCUGAGCUGACAUAAACCUGAACUCCGCACUAAUGUACUUAUCUUACAAAUGAUUUGUCUUGAUAAAUUCUUCGAUCUCAAUCUUACAAAUGGAAAGAGUCAUGGGCCCUCAGCAAAGUCACUUUUUUCUGCACCACUAGCCAGUUUGAUAUAAAUAGAUUGUGUUUGUGACUUUUUUGGAUGGUACUUCCCAAGUACCAGUUUUUUGUGUGAAAACUAAAAAAAGAUUUAGACGAACCUUUAGUCUCUAUUUUGUGCAUCGAAGGAGAAUUUUGUUGGGUAGGGUUGCAUCACACAAUCCUAUAUGUUGUCGACCAUUGUUACCUGUACAUGAUGCUACUUCAGAAAAUUAGUAAUUAAUAUAUACAUCUAUAUAUGUAUAUAUUUCAAAUUUACAAUCCAAGAUACUGUGAUGUAACUAGCUUGUGCGAUGCAAUAUAUUAGUAAUUUAUAAGCUGUCUAUUUUUCAAUAUGUUGUUGCUUUCUUGCUGGGCUGGAACUACCUUGGUUGUAGCACUCAGUAGGACAUUAUCCCCCAAAAAUCAAAACUACGGGUUCAUGGCGAUAGUCGACCUACCAUGAUUGUCUCGCAUGGCCUAUCUCCACAUGUGUGGAUGCAAGAUCAAGAUUAUGGUGUAGGUCAUUGUCGUGGCUGUGUACAUUGGCCAAGGCACUAAUGUUAUUCUCAAUUGUCCCUGCAAAACAAAUGUCAUUCUCAAGUGAUUGAGCUCGACAUUCGACCCAAGGAGCAUGAACUGACAUGAUACAACCAAUCCAUGGAUUGUAUUCACGUGCCCAACAUGUGUCCAAUGCCUAACCGGAAUUCAAGCCAACAAGGACGCCAUCACAUAAUGAUUAUCUUUAUGGCGCUCUUCAUACCCAUGGAUACAUGACAAUUUCCAAUGCCUAAUUGGAAUUCAAGAUCAACAAGGAUGUCAGCAGAUAAAUUAUGUCUUUAACAAAACCGGUAGCAUUGACUUCGCCGAGACCAGCCUGAGCACGCCGUUUCACUUAAAAGUCUCACUAUUCGAUUAAGAAUUUUUAGUGUUAAUCCUGGUACACUAACUAAGACUGGGAGGAAACACUCGCAUGUAUGCUUCUGUCCGUAACCUGUAUGCUGCUUUGAUGUCAACAGAGAAAGAGGAGCUAUGGACUAGGCAUUACAUGCUGGACACCAUGGACUGAAAACAUGAGACAUGGAUUGACACGGGAACGAUGUAUUACAAUUCCGUUUCCCAUAUAAUCUAAAAGGAUGAGUUGGGCUUCCCUUCAUGAGCUUCUUUUCUGUAAGGUUCAUGUAUAGAGAAAGAAGAAACAAAUAUAAACAUUAUAGCCAAGAUGAGGAAUUGAGGAUAACGGUGGUUUAUCUCAAUGCCACAUGUUUAGUUGGUGGAGCAUGCUCUUGGAGUACGCACGGAAAUUAACUUGAUGGAAGUAAAUAACAUGGCAAUAAGGUGGCUAGAUUUUUCUGUUCUAUUACACAGUACAUUUAUGUUUAUUUAAAAUCAAUUGCCAGAAAAUUUCAUGUUCCAAUGAAGGGGAUUUUUUCCCCAUGAUUUGGUGUUCCUUUUUCUUUCGAUUUAAUAUGUGCUUCCAGUGUGCAUUGAGAACAUAUGUAAUCAUUUUGAUCUAAGUGGCGGAAGGUUCCAACGCGAGUCAUUAUUAUGCGAUAAUAGACAAAUGUACUCAAGCAUAUCAUUCAUCGCAUGUGUCGCUAACUUACUAUCCAUGGCGGAUGGCGCACACAUGCUGUUGUAUGUUGUUAGCAAAUUGAACUCCUUCUGUGAUCACCUUAACUUAGACAUAUUCCUCCAGCUAUGACAUACUGCUACA
rnacentral:lncRNA from 1 species